rnacentral:rRNA from 1 species
UACGUAGGGUGCAAGCGUUGUCCGGAAUUAUUGGGCGUAAAGAGCUUGUAGGCGGUCUGUCGCGUCUGCUGUGAAAAUCCGGGGCUCAACCCCGGACUUGCAGUGGGUACGGGCAGACUAGAGUGUGGUAGGGGAGACUGGAAUUCCUGGUGUAGCGGUGAAAUGCGCAGAUAUCAGGAGGAACACCAAUAGCGAAGGCAGCUCGCUGGGACGUUACUGACACUGAGGCGCGAAAGCGUGGGGAGCGAACAGG